UGGGGAAUUUUGGACAAUGGGCGAAAGCCUGAUCCAGCAAUGCCGCGUGCAGGAAGAAGGCCUUCGGGUUGUAAACUGCUUUUGUACGGAACGAAAAGGCUCUUUCUAAUAAAGAGGGCCCAUGACGGUACCGUAAGAAUAAGCACCGGCUAACUACGUGCCAGCAGCCGCGGUAAUACGUAGGGUGCGAGCGUUAAUCGGAAUUACUGGGCGUAAAGCGUGCGCAGGCGGUUCUAUAAGACAGAUGUGAAAUCCCCGGGCUCAACCUGGGAAUGGCAUUUGUGACUGUAGAGCUAGAGUACGGUAGAGGGGGAUGGAAUUCCGCGUGUAGCAGUGAAAUGCGUAGAUAUGCGGAGGAACACCGAUGGCGAAGGCAAUCCCCUGGGCCUGUACUGACGCUCAUGCACGAAAGCGUGGGGAGCAAACAGGAUUAGAUACCCAAGUAGUCCCUGAGCGGGCUGGCAAGGCGCAU
rnacentral:rRNA from 1 species